rnacentral:rRNA from 1 species
AGUGAACGCUGGCGGUAGGCCUAACACAUGCAAGUCGAACGGCAGCACAGUAAGAGCUUGCUCUUACGGGUGGCGAGUGGCGGACGGGUGAGGAAUACAUCGGAAUCUACUUUUUCGUGGGGGAUAACGUAGGGAAACUUACGCUAAUACCGCAUACGACCUACGGGUGAAAGCAGGGGAUCUUCGGACCUUGCGGGAUUGAAUGAGCCGAUGUCGGAUUAGUUAGUUGGCGGGGUAAAGGCCCACCAAGGCGACGAUCCGUAGCUGGUCUGAGAGGAUGAUCAGCCACACUGGAACUGAGACACGGUCCAGACUCCUACGGGAGGCAGCAGUGGGGAAUAUUGGACAAUGGGGGCAAGCCUGAUCCAGCCAUACCGCGUGGGUGAAGAAGGCCUUCGGGUUGUAAAGCCCUUUUGUUGGGAAAGAAAAGCAGCAGGUUAAUACCCCGCUGUUCUGACGGUACCCAAAGAAUAGGCACCGGCUAACUUCGUG